rnacentral:misc_RNA from 1 species
CAAGACCAUCAUAAGCGAAAUGAGGAUGCACUUGCUUUGGUUGAUUAGCCGAUGGUUGUUCAGAUGAAGAUUUUUCUUGUACCAAUGUGUCCGAAACUUGUUCAUCAGGAACUGGUUUAAGAUCUAAGGACUCGGAAUUUCUCCUAGGAGGAACAGAAGGAUGCCUCUCUUUCACCGUGGAGCUAGAAGACUCCAUAUCCAUAACUGACUUUGAGUCUUGUGAAGGAUGAACUCUUUCAGAUGUACCAGCUGACACCUGAUCAUCUAAUUUCUCUGGCUUCCUGAGGUCAGUCUGUUUCUCUUGCUUCCUUGACUCUCUGUCUUUCGCACCAUAUGCAACAUUUUUUCCAAGAUUGAAGUAGAACUCGCUNAAGAAGCAAGAGGAGAAGUACAAGGAAAAGUUAUACAUACAUCCUCUUUCUCCUCUUGAAGCAGGUUGACGCAUGCGCUCUUCCUCUAUCCAUUUUGCCUGCUCUGCAAGUUUUUUCUUGUAAGCACUUGUGACAAAUUUGUCCUUGUCUGCAUAUAAGUGAUCAUCUUUGCUUCUUUCUUUAGCAAGUUUUUUCUCAUAUAUGAUCUCAUGUUCUCGCUGUCGUUGUUCUGCUUUCUUGAUCAAAGCUUGAAUAUAUUUAGGCUUUCUUUCUUCACGAUCUUGUUCUCGUGGUUGAGCAAUUUUUAGUUUCAUCUCAUCAUAAACUCCAUCAUAAUCAAAAACUGAAGGGUCUUCUUCCAAUGCUUUCUUAUGCUGCUCCUCAAUAUCCUUAAGAGACUUGUUCUUGGUAGCCUGCCGUGAAAUCUCCUUUUCAACAUUAUCCUCAUCAUCAUCAUCAUGAAACCCAAGAGGCGCCUGAAGAGGAGGUCUUGGCGGCUUUUUGGCCUGCUGGGGUUGUACCCUCAGCUGCAAACCGUACUUUUGCAUUUCACUUCAAAAAUUAAGAGGGCCGCAGACAGGAGAGACGAGGCGAAGGAGGAAGGCAGAAUCGCAGAGAGACACGUCGGAACGCGAGCGAUGCGAUGAGUUUUUGAGAUCAGC